UCGCCGAGCGGUGGUGGUAAAAUUAAUUUGCCUUGACGGUGCCGCCGCGGUAGACGUAAAAUUGUGUCCGGCCUAAUUUUGCCGUAACCGCCACCGCUGCCACUGCAGCAGGGAUUUGGGGAAGUGGUUCGUAGCGAAUUUGUCUGACGGUACCUCUUAUCAGCUCUUAAUCAUCGGUAUCACGCUAUCACAGCGUACUUGCGUUAUCUAAGAAACAUUCCUGAAGGUUUUGGAUGUUUGAAAAAACUGUAGAAAAUACGAAUGCCCAUCAAUAAAAAUUGGAUAAUACAAUGAAUCCUAUACUCGUUGAACUAUAUUAUGUACUGUUAACCGCAGUUCAAAAGAACUUUAGAUUAAGUAUGAGCCAAUAUGAUGAGCUGAUAUCUCAAGAGUUGGUGUUUUGUUAGUGGCUGGAGGGCAAGGUACAACGCUUGGAGUUAACUACCCUAAACGAAAGGGUUAACUGUUGUUGGCAUUAAAGGUUAUGGAAGUAGUGGGUACGGCAGUAUUAUUUUGGUGGCUGCAAUUCAAAAUACAAACUAUAUUUGCACGUGCCAAUUUGAUCGAGCUCUUCAAAUUUGGGGUAUCAAUUAUCCAGAAUGGGACAACCAAGGAGUUGGUAGUGAUAGUUUGAAAAUUCCUCAACAACCUAAUAAAAACUCAGGGGUCCAAUCAAAGUUAAGAUAGUCAUGGCCCAAUGAAGUCAAUUUAUAUGUCUAAUAAUCCAUACCUUAUGGAAACCCAGAAGACUGUGCAUUUUUUCAAUAUUAUACUCCGUUUAACGAGAGAGUGUGACUGGGUGGCGACCAAAACAUGUUCAUUUUCCCGCAUCCCCACCACAUUCCUGUCAAUGUUGCCUACCAUCAGUAUUUGUCGAUCGCCGUCGUACCCCCGAACGACAUUGUUAUAAUAUACUUAGCGGUUACUGGUGUAAUCAUGUUUAUUAUUAUUACAUGUUUUAUGUCGCAGUUAAUAUUUGUGGUGCGUUACUUGAGCCACUGUAUACAGAGAGCGGACGCCACAUGGUGGGGGAAAUUUGGCCUCACGAUGUCGGAGCUAAUUCAUUUCGAUGCACAUGGUUGUCGCACUCUCUAUUGGAAUGGAGUACAGUGUUUAUCGCUAGAUGAAGACGAUGACAGUAAGCCCAAGAUUCAACACAUGUACCAUUAACAAAAUAAUUAGCAAAAUCAACAGCGUCAUUAGCCGACAAUUGGUUUAUAGCUUCUUCAAAAAUUAUUUCAAAGGCUUUAGUAUCUUGUUCAUGAAGUAAAGUCCUCAAAAGUUUUAUAAUCUAUGUUUUGGAUGUUUCAUUUCAACAAUCCAUGCAUUGAAAAAACUUUCAGCCAUGUCGGACAUGAAUGUUUGGCUACAAUAAUUGUCCUGUUAAUUAUCAGCACUGCCUCAUCGAUACGAAUACUAAUCAUAAGGCACAUGGAAAACCUUCUCUCAUAUCGUCAAGUACAAGAGUGUUGUUAUUAAAGUGAUAGGAAUUCAUAUCAUGAGUUUCAUCUAUAAAAAUUACAUCAUGUCCAUAUUUUUCCAACAUAGACUGUUGAUAAU